AGAGGGGUGCAAGCGUUAAUCGGAAUUACUGGGCGUAAAGGGCGCGUAGGGUGGUUAGUUAAGUCAGAUGUGAAAUCCCCGGGGCUCAACCUGGGAACUGCAUCUGAAACUGGUUGACUAGAGUACAGUAGAGGGAAGUGGAAUUUCCGGUGUAGCGGUGAAAUGCGUAGAUAUCGGAAGGAACACCAGUGGCGAAGGCGACUUCCUGGACUGAUACUGACACUGAGGCGCGAAAGCGUGGGGAGCAAACAGGAUUAGAUACCCUGGUAGUCCACGCCGUAAACGAUGAGAACUAGCUGUUGGGAGGAGUUUUCCCUCUUAGUGGCGAAGCUAACGCAAUAAGUUCUCCGCCUGGGGAGUACGGCCGCAAGGUUA
rnacentral:rRNA from 1 species